rnacentral:rRNA from 1 species
GCCCUUAGAGUUUGAUCCUGGCUCAGAUUGAACGCUAGCGGCAUGCCUAACACAUGCAAGUCGAACGGCAGCGCGGGGAGCUUGCUCCCUGGCGGCGAGUGGCGGACGGGUGAGUAACACGUAGGAAUCUGCCUUAUAGUGGGGGACAACCCGGGGAAACUCGGGCUAAUACCGCAUAAUCUCUACGGAGCAAAGUGGGGGAUCUUUUGACCUCACGCUAUAAGAUGAGCCUGCGUCGGAUUAGCUUGUUGGUGGGGUAAAGGCCUACCAAGGCGACGAUCCGUAGCUGGUCUGAGAGGACGAUCAGCCACACUGGGACUGAGACACGGCCCAGACUCCUACGGGAGGCAGCAGUGGGGAAUAUUGGACAAUGGGGGCAACCCUGAUCCAGCAAUGCCGCGUGUGUGAAGAAGGCCUUCGGGUUGUAAAGCACUUUCAGUAGGGAAGAAAGGCUCAAGGUUAAUACCCUUGGGAGUUGACGUUACCUACAGAAGAAGCACUGGCUAACUCUGUGCCAGCAGCCGCGGUAAUAAGGGCG